UACGAGAGGCCCAAACGUUAUUCGGAUUUACUGGGCUUAAAGAGUUCGUAGGCGGCGCAGAAAGUAGGGUGUGAAAGCCCUCGGCUCAACCGAGGAAUAGCGCUCUAAACUACUGUGCUUGAGGAACCUAGAGGUGAGCAGAACUGAUGGUGGAGCGGUGAAAUGCGUUGAUAUCAGGAGGAACACCGGCGGCGAAGGCGAGGCUCUGGCUGAUUUCUGACGCUGAGACGCGAAAGCUAGGGGAGCAAACGGG
rnacentral:rRNA from 1 species